AGUGAACGCUGGCGGCGUGCUUAACACAUGCAAGUCGAACGAGAACGGAAUAUAGCUUGCUAUAUUUGUCAGCUAAGUGGCGCACGGGUGAGUAAUGUAUAGAUAACCUGCCCUUAAGAAUGGAAUAACAGUUGGAACCGACUGCUAAUGCCCUAUAUGCCUUUAAUACAAAAGUAUGCAAGGGAAACGCUUUAGUGCUUAAGGAUGGGUCUGUAUGGUAUCAGCUUGUUGGUGAGGUAAUGGCUCACCAAGGCUAUGACGCCUAACUGGUUUGAGAGGAUGAUUAGUAACAAUGGAACUGAGACACGGUCCAGACUCCUACGGGAGGCAGCAGUGGGGAAUAUUGCACAAUGGACGAAAGUCUGAUGCAGCAACGCCGCGUGGAGGAUGACACAUUUCGGUGCGUAAACUCCUUUUAUAUAGGAAGAUUAUGACGGUACUAUAUGAAUAAGCACCGGCUAACUACGUGCCAGCCGCCGCGGUAA
rnacentral:rRNA from 1 species